GUAGGGUACAGCUGGCGUGCCGUGUGAAUACGCAUAUUUUUUCAUUUAUAUUCAUUCAAAAUAUUAGCAUACUAUUUUAAAACGAAAGAGGCUGGUGUUUUGUUUUAUAUAAUUUGUUUAUAUUGUUCAGUAGUAUACGCCUACAUGAGGCCGUAGCACAGUUAACAGACGAGCUGAGGUGGUGACGUCAUCGAGUCCGCUGCUGUUCCAAUUGCAGGUGCGUACUCCCGUCCUCGGAGGUUUGUACUUGGAAGUCCGGACUUGCCAAGCGCAAACUUCCGUACUUGGUAUUGAGAGACGGCUAGACUCUCCUCAGAGGGCUUCAGGGGUUGCUAUGGGUUUAGCAUCCCUGCCAUUUAGCAAACACACACAGACAAACACACGGACAGACACACACACGGACAGACACACACAUUAGCAGGUGGUCACCUUUGGGAGGGGGGUGGGUGGUAAGAGAAGCUAGUAGCUCAUUAACUAGGCGUAGAAAGGGAGGUGAAUGAUUACAAAAGCACCCAUGCACACACAUACACACACACACACACACAGUUGUCCCCCAGGAGGUGAUGUCGGCAUGGCGUCACAGGUAGGGGGGGUAGCUGAGCGUCGCCGUGACUACGGAUACCUCUACGCUCAGAGAGUCAGUCACCCCUUCAGGAAUACUUUGGCCGGAGAUAGAGGCGCGACCGACGUCGCCCACAACCAGCCUGGAGCUCUGAUACCUGAGCUCUGAUACCGUUUAAUAUAACUUCCUGUUUAGUAUUAUGGUUAGUAUACUCAGAUUGGACUAGUUUGGAGCAGACAUACAGGUGCCAGGCUGUAUCCUCUGGGACAGAACGCCCCCAGUGUGGAGCAGACAGACAGGUGCCAGGCCGUCUCCUCUGGGACAGAACGCCCCCAGUGUGGAGCAGACAGAUAGGUGCCAGGCCGUCUCCUCUGGGACAGAACGCCCCCAGUGUGGAGCAGAGACGGGUGCCAGGCUGUAUCCUCUGGGACAGAACGCGCCCAGCGUGGAGCAGACAGACAGGUGCCAGGCCGACUCCUCUGGUAUAGAACGCCUCUAGCGUGGAGCAGACAGACAGGUGCCAGGCCGACUCCUCUGGUAUAGAACGCCUCUAGCGUGGAGCAGACAGACAGGUGCCAGGCUGACUCCUCUGGGAUGGAGCCUGAACUCAGAGGGGAGUCCGGCGCCCCAGAGCCUGAGGCAGGGGAGGACUACCGCCAGUACCUGUGCAGGUAGACGUUCACCUCGACUCUGCAUUGCCCGGUCAGUUGACUAGGUUUCUAGGAAAGGAGAGGGCGGAUUACUUCCUGGGGUCGUCAUCUGAUCAUCUACGACCUUCAACCUGGGACCCUACGAUGACCUCUGCCAACAGGGAGCCGGUGAGUGCUGUUGCAUUCUGGGAGGCUCUGAGAGAAGGCUCUGCAGUUACAGAGGGGAACUGCCGUAA
ensembl:lncRNA